CCAUGGGGGNAACCCUGNAUGCAGCNCCGCCGCGUGAGAUGAAGAAAGUAUUUCCCNUAUGUAAAGCUCUAUCAGCAGGGNAAGAUAAUGACGGUACCUGUNCUAAGAAGCUCCGGCUAAAUACGUGCCAGCAGCCGCGGUAAUACGUAUGGAGCAAGCGUUAUCCGGAUUUACUGGGUGUAAAGGGUGCGUAGGUGGCAGUGCAAGUCAGAUGUGAAAGGCCGGGGCUCAACCCCGGAGCUGCAUUUGAAACUGCAUAGCUAGAGUACAGGAGAGGCAGGCGGAAUUCCUAGUGUAGCGGUGAAAUGCGUAGAUAUUAGGAGGAACACCAGUGGCGAAGGCGGCUCACUGGACUGUAACUGACACUGAGGCUCGAAAGCGUGGGGAGCAAACAGGAUUAGAUACCCUGGUAGUCCAAGGGCGAAUUC
rnacentral:rRNA from 1 species